UCCCCCUGGCACUGCACGUCCGCGGGCAGCUCCGGAGAGCUCCCUCCCUCGGCGGUCCCCGAGUUCAGUCCGGAGCCAGGCCCCGCCACCCGUGGGCCUCACGGUACCGCAGCAGCUCUCGGCGGGGGGACCCCGGCGGUCUUUUUCCGUCCCAUGCCUUGGUUUCCUCCCCUGGAACCGAGGCUGCUGACAGUACCAGCUUCCCGGGGCGGGGACCAGGACAGCCGCGAGCGUCCGUCGUGGAGUGGGUGGCGCUGUCGCAGGCGUAGGACCCCUGGGCAGAGGACGCAGUGUCGCUUCCCUCCGGGUGACUGUGGCAGGGAACAGCUGGGACCACAGCACUCUCUGUCCUGGAGCAGUGGCUCCAGGCUCACUGGCCACGCUGCGCCAGGUGUUCCUCCUCCUGGCUAUCUAUGCCUUCUCCGCUGCCACAGCUCUGGCCCAAGACUCCUCCUGGGUGAUUCUCCUUCUCUUGGCUUCUGGAGUUUCAGCUCCCUCAAGAUGGCAAAGUGGCUGCAGUGGCUCCACCUUCACUCAGAGGAUUUCCAGGACAGUCAGCUGCAGUUCUAGGUUUUGCAGUGAUUCAGGCCAUUUUCUGUGCCGGUUCCUGGUACAAGAAGAUGUUAUGCUGAAAUUGACCCCAUCCUGAUUUAUGGGUCCCAUCUUUGAGGUGAGGAGGCAGUGUCGAGAUCAGUCUGAGUGAGUCAGGCAUUAGCCCUGAGCUGGAGGCGUCAGGUCCUCCCAGCCAGCGUGUCACCCAUGAUGUCAUGGGGGAGGCCAAGCCACCACAGUGCCCACUGCCGCCCAGAUGCAGCCCAGCAGGGAGGGCAGUGCCACAGUCUCUCUGGAGUCCUCACCUCAGCCCACUGGGGUUCUGUCUAAAGCUUGGGUUUUAACUAAUUUAGCACAGAAAUUUUUAAAAAUUUUAUUUUAUUUAAAGAAAGAAAAUUUAAAAAAACAAAAUAGAAAAAAUGAGGAAAAAAGUAGAAUACAGAAUUCAAAAAAAUUAACAUCAUAAAAUCGCUGGCUGAUACAUUACAUAUUGUCAUCUUAACAAUAGUUGUUAAAGUUACAAAAUCAAAGCAUAGAAAGUGGCUAGGCACUCAAACAUGGACAGUGCAAACUCUUCUGUUCAAUGAUCUAACAAAAACCCAGUAAUAUGGUCAUCUAUCUUACACACUAUACAUACCGUUAUAUCCUUUAAAGCACUUUCCUUCCCUUUCACUUUUACAAUAUCUAUUAUACUUUUUGGAUCCCGUUACUCUGUCAGUUUUUAUUAUUUUUUACAGUAGACAGACAAUGUAAUAUUUACUAAUGUGAGUCUUGUUUAUUUCACUAAUGAGGAUAUUCUCAAUUUGCCUCCAUUUACCUAUAAAGGCCUCAAGAUCACCCUUUUUAUAGCUGAAUAGUAUUCCAUUGUAUAAAAAUACCAUUUUUUCAUCCAUUCUGCGGUUGAUGGGCAUCUAGGUUGUUUCCAAGAUUUAGCUAUCACAAAUGGUGCUGCUGUGAACAUGGGUGCACAUAUAUCACUGUGAUAUGAACCUAGGGCGCUGGGCAACAAAGAAACCCGCUUGUCUCCCUGGUAAGCAGCCAUGAGCCUUCUGGCACACUGCUGAGAAUCAGACAUCCCACCCCCCUCCUCCCCCAUUAGCAACUGGGAGUCAGAGGUCUGGGCAUCUCUUGGGAGGACGACCACAGAAGGGGAUUUCCUUCUAUCAUCUCUUUGAAGGCAAAUACUAUUAUUACUGUUUUGCUUUGUUCUGAUUAAUUAUAUUGCUCUAUUCAAUAUUCUGUUUUGAUGGGUUUUAUAAUUUCUGUAUUUGGUUUGAUUUUGCUAUACCUGAUUGAAUGGACAACUAUUGUGAAGAUAACGAGAUAUACUGUGGUAACUGUUACUGUUAUCCUGGUAACCUGAUGAGAACUUCUGUACCAAUUUCACUGCAUUGUCUCCAUUGGCUUUGUUCUGUCUUGUUCUGUUGUAUUUUACUACCUUCAAAAUAUUACAAAAAUAAAAAUAAGCACUGCAGUCCACCACCA